GCACUGUGGUAGUAUCCUUCUGCCCCUGCUCUGAGGGACCCCGUUGGUAUUACAGCGAUGAAGAAGCUCCCACAGUUCUGGAUGCAGAGGUGAGUCUUUGUUCUUCAUUUCUCUACAUGCUGAAAAAUCUGCAAGGUGGCCAAAUCAGCAAAACCACAACUGAUUGAUGCACCGAGGCUUGAAGAAAAGCUUACCUUGGAAGCUUCACGCUGUUACACCAACCAGCUCCUGCAUUCACUGCCCAGAGAUAACUGGUACCAGCACAGGAACACGUAGCUAUGCUCUGCGACCAGCUGUCAACACAUUCCGGAAAGAGCAGGAUUUUAAAUUAAAAGUGUGCACAGGAGCUAUAGAAAAACAGAGGUGGUACGUGAAACAUCUGUUACAGUCAUUUCACCAGAACGGCAAGAUUGCUCCCGUCCGUGCCCCACAGCUGCUUAAAGUAAGACAAAGAGCAGCAUACCAGAAAGAGUACAACAGCUACAAAAACUCACAGUCCUGGGCAGCACAAGGGACAGGCUGUCACCAGCCCCCAAACCUCCUUGCUGCUCAGAGGCAGCAAUGCUAGGGCUCACAAACUCGGAUUUGCCUUCAUCGCCCCAGGAUCUAGUCCCAAGCCCCACAGAGCUGAGAGCAAAGAGGCUGCACCCCCAGAGACCCAUGGGCAGGGUAAGCAGGUCCCCUGCUGCACUGAGAGUGAAGGCAGAAGACCCUUGCAGUACUCUGACCACUGCUGCAGUGACUGAGGCUGCCACGAACGGGUGUGAGCCUUCCCAACGCUUCUCACAUCUCCCCUUUCUGUAAACAAAAUGUCUGUUGAAGAGCAGAAGCUGAGAAAUGAGUAACAAACCUCUUUGGAAAUCUCUGGGCUCUUCAGAAACAUCAGGAGUCUUUGCAAUAUUUUAUUUUUUAAAUACCUCUUCAUGUAUGCAACACUGAAAUGCUUCAUCUCAGGCUUCCGACCUGCCACAGGCUGCACGCAGCUCAAGGGCUUUGGCAGGCAGAACGUCUGUCUCAGGAGCACAUGGAGAGCAGAGCACCCAGCUGAAGUGCGGUGGUGCCCACCUAACCUCAUGGACCCAGCUGACCCUUGCACACCACCUCUGUGCAAUUCCCUUUGCUUCAGGAUGUCACCCUAUUGCCAGCACAGAACACCAGACCCAACAAACUGGCCGUCUACUAUCACAUUCCCAAGGCAAAGAACUGUCCUGAUGCCACUGACUGCAGCCUGGUGUUUCGCAUGGCGUGUGGGCCUGUCAGCACAGUCUUCUGAGAGGGCUCUAAGCUCUCAGGAUUGAGCCAGAUCCAAGGACACUCAGCCUCACCGGCCAUAUCCGCUAGCACAAGCACAGUUCAGAUCAUUGGUUCCCUGCUGCACGUGGAUAUCACGGAAUCACAGAAUUGUCUAGAUUGGAAGAGACCUCCAAGAUCACCUAGUCCAUCCUCUGACCUAACACUAACAGUCCCCACUAAACCAUAUCGCUAAGCUCUACAUC
rnacentral:lncRNA from 1 species